rnacentral:rRNA from 1 species
GUGGCGUUUGUACGCUUAGGUAGUACGAGAGGACCGGAGUGGACGCAUCACUGGUGUUCGGGUUGUCAUGCCAAUGGCACUGCCCGGUAGCUAAAUGCGGAAGAGAUAAGUGCUGAAAGCAUCUAAGCACGAAACUUGCCCCGAGAU